UACGGAGGGUGCAAGCGUUAUCCGGAUUCACUGGGUUUAAAGGGUGCGUAGGCGGCCAUGUAAGUCAGGAGUGAAAGUUUGCGGCUCAACCGUAAAAUUGCUUUUGAUACUGCAUGGCUGGAAUUAGGAUGAGGUCAGCGGAAUGUGGCAUGUAGCGGUGAAAUGCAUAGAUAUGCCAUAGAACACCAGUUGCGAAGGCAGCUGGCUAGACCUGGAUUGACGCUGAGGCACGAAAGCGUGGGGAGCGAACAGG
rnacentral:rRNA from 1 species